rnacentral:rRNA from 1 species
UGGGGAAUUUUGGACAAUGGGCGAAAGCCUGAUCCAGCAAUGCCGCGUGUGUGAAGAAGGCCUUCGGGUUGUAAAGCACUUUUGUCCGGAAAGAAAUCCUUGGCUCUAAUACAGUCGGGGGAUGACGGUACCGGAAGAAUAAGCACCGGCUAACUACGUGCCAGCAGCCGCGGUAAUACGUAGGGUGCAAGCGUUAAUCGGAAUUACUGGGCGUAAAGCGUGCGCAGGCGGUUUGCUAAGACCGAUGUGAAAUCCCCGGGCUCAACCUGGGAACUGCAUUGGUGACUGGCAGGCUAGAGUAUGGCAGAGGGGGGUAGAAUUCCACGUGUAGCAGUGAAAUGCGUAGAGAUGUGGAGGAAUACCGAUGGCGAAGGCAGCCCCCUGGGCCAAUACUGACGCUCAUGCACGAAAGCGUGGGGAGCAAAACAGGAUUAGAUACCCUGGUAGUCCACGCCCUAAAACGAUGUCAACUAGUUGUUGGGGAUUCAUUUCCUAGUAACGUAGCUAACGCGUGAAGUUGACCGCCUGGGGAGUACGGUCGCAAGAUUAAAACUUAAAUGAAUUGACGGGGUCAUAGCUG